rnacentral:sRNA from 1 species
AUGCCAGACAGACCCCUAAAAUCAUCAGACCAGGAGGGUGGGGUUCUUUGGGAGCGUGGCAGUCCUGCUCCAGAACAUAUGGGGUGGGGCAUUGACAGCCCAAUAAACCACCCAGGCUGUGAAGGAGGGGAUAGCAAUGCAAAUGAAGCCAAGAUUUGUAAUUCUGAGCCGUGUUCAGAUGAUAGUCAAACACAGGCAGAUCUGAUUAAACAGAGAGCUUCAGAAACGUGUCUUACAAUGCUUGAAAAUAAAGUAUUGAAUUCGUCAGAGUAUAAUUAAACGGGGGAUAGAUACAGUCAUUCUGGAAAUUAUGUGUGUGAAGUUAGAUGUAAAGAAGUGGGUGAUUUCAAAUCGCCAUAUUUCACAAGAUUCGGCUUAAUGCCGCACGGUACCCCAUGCGAUGCCAAAGUAAUUAAGUACAUGGAUUUAAUGAGCUCACCUUGGCCAAGAAAGAAGGGCCUCACUCCUAUUUGUUUGGAGGGAUAUUGCAGGAUCUUUGGGUGCGACGAUGCUUUCCUUGGAGGGACAAAAGAGUUUGAUGAAUGUGGUGUUUGUGGUGGGGAUGGGUCCACAUGUGACGUCAUACAGGGAACAUUCACGGGUAUACCUGGAGAAGG